AAUGAACGCUGGCGGCGCGCCUAAUACAUGCAAGUCGAGCGAGAAGACGUAGCAAUACGUUUGUAAAGCGGCGAACGGGUGAGGAAUACAUGGGUAACCUACCCUCGAGUGGGGAAUAACUAGCCGAAAGGUUAGCUAAUACCGCGUACGCUUCUUGGACUUCGGUUCGAGGGAGGAAAAGCGAUGCCGAGGGUAUCGCGCUCUUGGAUGGGCUCAUGUCCUAUCAGCUUGUGGUGAGGUAGCGGCUCACCAAGGCUUCGACGGGUAGCUGGUCUGAGAGGACGAUCAGCCACACUGGCACUGCGAC
rnacentral:rRNA from 1 species